rnacentral:rRNA from 1 species
GGAGGGUGCGAGCGUUGUCCGGAAUCACUGGGCGUAAAGGGCGCGUAGGCGGCACAGUAAGUAGGUGGUGAAAUCUCACGGGCUCAACCGUGAAACGGCCUCCUAAACUGCUGAGCUCGAGCACGGUAGAGGCAGAUGGAAUUCCCGGUGUAGCGGUGGAUGCGUAGAUAUCGGGAAGAACACCAGUGGCGAAGGCGGUCUGCUGGGCCGCUGCUGACGCUGAGGCGCGACAGCGUGGGGAGCAAACAGGAUUAGAUACCCUGGUAGUCCACGCCGUAAACGAUGGGUACUAGGCGUCGGGGGGAGCGACCCCUUCGGUGCCGUCGCUAACGCAGUAAGUACCCCGCCUGGGGAGUACGGCCGCAAAGGCUG